AGUAAAUGUGGAGCCGUAGCGAAAGCGAGUCUGAAUAGGGCGUUUAGUAUUUGGUCGUAGACCCGAAACCAGGUGAUCUACCCUUGGUCAGGUUGAAGUUCAGGUAACACUGAAUGGAGGACCGAACCGACUUACGUUGAAAAGUGAGCGGAUGAACUGAGGGUAGCGGAGAAAUUCCAAUCGAACCUGGAGAUAGCUGGUUCUCUCCGAAAUAGCUUUAGGGCUAGCCUCAAGUGAUGAUUAUUGGAGGUAGAGCACUGUUUGGACGAGGGGCCCCUCUCGGGUUACCGAAUUCAGACAAACUCCGAAUGCCAAUUAAUUUAACUUGGGAGUCAGAACAUGGGUGAUAAGGUCCGUGUUCGAAAGGGAAACAGCCCAGACCACCAGCUAAGGUCCCAAAAUAUAUGUUAAGUGGAAAAGGAUGUGGCGUUGCCCAGACAACUAGGAUGUUGGCUUAGAAGCAGCCAUCAUUUAAAGAGUGCGUAAUAGCUCACUAGUCGAGUGACACUGCGCCGAAAAUGUACCGGGGCUAAACAUAUUACCGAAGCUGUGGAUUGUCCUUUGGACAAUGGUAGGAGAGCGUUCUAAGGGCGUUGAAGCAUGAUCGUAAGGACAUGUGGAGCGCUUAGAAGUGAGAAUGCCGGUGUGAGUAGCGAAAGACGGGUGAGAAUCCCGUCCACCGAUUGACUAAGGUUUCCAGAGGAAGGCUCGUCCGCUCUGGGUUAGUCGGGUCCUAAGCUGAGGCCGACAGGCGUAGGCGAUGGAUAACAGGUUGAUAUUCCUGUACCACCUAUAAUCGUUUUAAUCGAUGGGGGGACGCAGUAGGAUAGGCGAAGCGUGCGAUUGGAUUGCACGUCUAAGCAGUAAGGCUGAGUAUUAGGCAAAUCCGGUACUCAUUAAGGCUGAGCUGUGAUGGGGAGAAGACAUUGUGUCUUCGAGUCGUUGAUUUCACACUGCCGAGAAAAGCCUCUAGAUAGAAAAUAGGUGCCCGUACCGCAAACCGACACAGGUAGUCAAGAUGAGAAUUCUAAGGUGAGCGAGCGAACUCUCGUUAAGGAACUCGGCAAAAUGACCCCGUAACUUCGGGAGAAGGGGUGCUCUUUAGGGUUAACGCCCAGAAGAGCCGCAGUGAAUAGGCCCAAGCGACUGUUUAUCAAAAACACAGGUCUCUGCUAAACCGUAAGGUGAUGUAUAGGGGCUGACGCCUGCCCGGUGCUGGAAGGUUAAGAGGAGUGGUUAGCUUCUGCGAAGCUACGAAUCGAAGCCCCAGUAAACGGCGGCCGUAACUAUAACGGUCCUAAGGUAGCGAAAUUCCUUGUCGGGUAAGUUCCGACCCGCACGAAAGGCGUAACGAUUUGGGCACUGUCUCAACGAGAGACUCGGUGAAAUCAUAGUACCUGUGAAGAUGCAGGUUACCCGCGACAGGACGGAAAGACCCCGUGGAGCUUUACUGUAGCCUGAUAUUGAAAUUCGGCACAGCUUGUACAGGAUAGGUAGGAGCCUUUGAAACGUGAGCGCUAGCUUACGUGGAGGCGCUGGUGGG
rnacentral:rRNA from 1 species